CAUUCCUCUCUCUCUCUAGCACUUUCUCUCUCUACAUCGAUAUCUCGGCAUUAUCGCUUCUUCAACUGGAAAACCUCGUAUUCUCGCCGGAAGACCGCUUGUUCGCCGGCUAACUGGAGAAUUGGCCCGCACUGUUACUGUUUCGUUGAUUUGUUUCUUAUUUUCUAUCUAAUCGGUGGUCAUGACUUGAUCAGUUGAAUCUCCGAUCUCUGAGUCGGACUCGGUACCACGUAGUGCACGAGAAUGUGGCGAAAUUGAGUGCGUGUUUGUGG
rnacentral:lncRNA from 1 species